rnacentral:rRNA from 1 species
ACGAACGCUGGCGGCCUGCCUAACACCUGCAAGUCGCACGCGACCUUCGGGUCUAGUGGCGCACGGGUGCGUAACGCGUGGGAACCUGCCCUUAGGUUCGGAAUAACUCCCCGAAAGGGGUGCUAAUACCGGAUAAUGUCUUCGGACCAAAGAUUUAUCGCCUUUGGAUGGGCCCGCGUUGGAUUAGCUAGUUGGUAGGGUAAAAGCCUACCAAGGCGACGAUCCAUAGCUGGUCUGAGAGGAUGAUCAGCCACACUGGGACUGAGACACGGCCCAGACUCCUACGGGAGGCAGCAGUGGGGAAUAUUGGACAAUGGGCGAAAGCCUGAUCCAGCAAUGCCGCGUGAGUGAUGAAGGCCUUAGGGUUGUAAAGCUCUUUUACCCGGGAUGAUAAUGACAGUACCGGGAGAAUAAGCUCCGGCUAACUCCGUG